rnacentral:rRNA from 1 species
AAGGGUGCGUAACACGUGGGCAAUCUGCCGAGAAGUGGGGGAUAGCUCGCCGAAAGGCGAAUUAAUACCGCAUGUGGUUAGGGGCGACAUCUUCCUGACACCAAAGCCGGGGUAACCUGGCGCUUCUUGUUGAGCCCGCGGCCUAUCAGCUAGUUGGUGAGGUAACGGCUCACCAAGGCUAUGACGGGUAGCUGGUCUGAGAGGACGACCAGCCACACUGGAACUGAGACACGGUCCAGACACCUACGGGUGGCAGCAGUCGAGAAUUUUUCUCAAUGGGGGAAACCCUGAAGGAGCGACGCCGCGUGGAGGAUGAAGGUCUUCGGAUUGUAAACUCCUGUCAUUUGGGAACAAUUGUCAGUCAUUAACUGUGAUUGAUUUGAUAGUACCAGAAGAGGAAGAGACGGCUAACUCUGUGCCAGCAGCCGCGGUAACACAGAGGUCUCAAGCGUUGUUCGGAUUCAUUGGGCGUAAAGGGUGCGUAGGUGGCGCCAUAAGUCAGGUGUGAAAUCUCGGGGCUCAACCCCGAAACUGCACUUGAUACUGUGGUGCUGGAGUACUGGAGAGGAGAUUGGAAUU